GUGGGUGUGUACAGUGUGUGUGGUGUAUGGGUGUGUACAGUAUUUGUGGGUGUGUACAGUAUGUGUGGUGUAUGGGUGUUAUGUGUGGGUGUGUACAAUGUGUGUGGUGUGUGGGUGUGUACAGUAUGUGUGGGUGUGUACAGUAUGUGUGGUGUAUGGGUGUGUACAGUAUGUGUGGGUGUGUACAGUAUGUGUGGGUGUGUACAGUGUGUGUGGUGUAUGGGUGUGUACAGUAUGUGUGGGUGUGUACAUUAUGUGUGGUGUAUGGGUGUGUACAGUAUGUGUGGGUGUGUACAGUAUGUGUGGGUGUGUACAGUAUGUGUGGUGUGUGGGUGUGUACAGUAUGUGUGGGUGUGUACAGUAUGUGUGG
rnacentral:lncRNA from 1 species